UGCCUAACACAUGCAAGUCGAACGGACGAGGAGGAGCUUGCUUCUCCAAGUCAGUGGCGGACGGGUGAGUAACGCGUGAGUAACCUGCCCUUCAGAGGGGGAUAACGUCUGGAAACGGACGCUAAUACCGCAUGACAUAUUUCCAUCGCAUGGUGGAGAUAUCAAAGGAGCAAUCCGCUGAAGGAUGGACUCGCGUCCGAUUAGAUAGUUGGCGGGGUAACGGCCCACCAAGUCGACGAUCGGUAGCCGGACUGAGAGGUUGAACGGCCACAUUGGGACUGAGACACGGCCCAGACUCCUACGGGAGGCAGCAGUGGGGGAUAUUGCACAAUGGGCGAAAGCCUGAUGCAGCAACGCCGCGUGAGGGAAGACGGUUUUCGGAUUGUAAACCUCUGUUCUAAGUGACGAACAAAUGACGGUAGCUUAGGAGAAAGCCCCGGCUAACUACGUGCCAGCAGCCGCGGUAAUACGUAGGGGGCAAGCGUUGUCCGGAAUUACUGGGUGUAAAGGGAGCGCAGGCGGAGAAGCAAGUCGGUGGUGAAAACGAUGGGCUUAACUCAUCGACUGCCAUUGAAACUGUUUCCCUUGAGUGAAGUAGAGGCAGGCGGAAUUCCGAGUGUAGCGGUGAAAUGCGUAGAUAUUCGGAGGAACACCAGUGGCGAAGGCGGCCUGCUGGGCUUUA
rnacentral:rRNA from 1 species